GUGGGAGGAAGCUCACUGUAGAGGUCACGAUCUGAGUGCUCGUCACUCGUCCAAUCACCUCGGGGAAGGUCUGAGACAAGAGCCAAUAGCUGCCCUUGCAGGGCAUCACCUGAUUCAGGCGAGUGAGUGAACAGAAAUCAUGGCCACCGCGUGCAGGCUCACGCAGGAGAAGCCUGGGACACGCCGCUCCCGGCACCCCAGGUGGAUGCGCUGCACGCCGGCUUGGAAUCGCUCACGGCUGGCGGAAUGAGUGCGAUGUGUGAGGUGGGGCACUGCUCCAGAACCCAAUUCAGACUACUCUCCUCCCAC
ensembl:ribozyme RNaseP_nuc Nuclear RNase P